ACGUAAUGUCUGUUUGAAUUUGGAAAUGUUUAACCUACCUCAAUACUAGAUGAAGUGUUUUAUAGCAUGCGGUCCACGGGAACACUUAAAAUGAAUUUCUGCAUGCUGGAAUGCUCUUUCAGUGCAUUGAAAGAGGUGAAGGCAGUGAUUAAAGCAAAUUGGAAAGCCUUGGGCACUCCUAUUGCUUCAGCCUCGGGGCUGUGCAGAAGAUGACUUCUCAGCUGCUCAGCAACCAGGGAUGUGCACGUGCUGCUCAGUUGGUGUCCUCUGGGUCCCUGUCUGAAGGGUAACAGCACAGAACAAAGGAGUUACAGCCCAAACAACACUGCUGUUUUUAAAAACAUGUUGAAACGUUCUGACUUCAAUUCCACAAGUAUUUCCCUCCUGAUCUGUACAUGGAGUAUAUUAGUGACCGACUGGGAGUAAAACUCUGAAUAUUUAUGUGCAGCCUCAAGCCCAGUAGUCACAUUCAGUGAAAUCAUCUGCUUAACUGUGUGCUGGUUGUGGUUGACUAUGUAAUUGGGGGGGAUGGUGAAAUACUUAAGUGCUUCUAGUCAUCUUUAUCUCAGAGUUAUUCUGUACUAAAUUUGUCUUCAAUGUUCUGCACUGUGCUGGGGCAGACCAGCCUGAGUCCCUUUUUAGAGCACUGCCAAUUUCCCCAUGGAUGAGCCACUAUGUUUAAUGUGUGUUAAGGUUUUUUGUUUGUUUGUUUUCUUAGCCUUAUUGGGCAAACAAUGGCAUCUUGAAAUAUUAGAAGUUUUGAAUGUUUAAAAUCACGUCCAGUAUAUUUUUGCUUCAUCCUAACUCAGCAGUAGCUUGACCUAAAAAGCUCUUACCUAGCUUUGUUGUGAUGGCAUUUCUCUGGGCACACUUAGUAUUGUUUACUUUACCCACAUCCGUUUCAGUUAAUAAAUAAAAUCCUACAUUUCCAGAAUGAAAACCAUCAACUCUCGAAAUAGGUGAAGCCUCUCCCUCUAUUCAUGUUCCAGGUGAAACUUAAAGUCCCAUUGAGGGCUGCAGUGGUGCAAAAAGGUAAUGAUUCCAUUUAUUUGGGAGUAAUUUAAGAAAUAACCCAGUCAGCAUGUUUUUUCCAAACAUAGGUUUUCCUCUCCUUUAAAAGUAUACAAUUUCCUAAAUCAAACUCUCAGUGAAAUACUGUGUAGAGCAAAGUGAUUCCACCUGCAUGAGUAUUAUGGGCCUCUUAUAAAUGUUACCAUUGAAGGAGGAGUUGUUUACAGUUUUUAUCAGGUGUGUUUACUGUGUGAUAGAGGCGUGUGACUCUUAUUUUUAGGUUCUGUCCUUUUCUUCCUUUCCCUCCAGCUCCCCCAAUAUUGGUGUUUCCUUAGAAACCCAGGCUGUCAGAUGGCAUCAUAAAAAUAUGAAAUGACACUGAGCUGUCAUUUGGGGGAGGUAAUUAUUGUGGAAGCAGAGUGUUUCCUACUGCUGCCAAAAAUCUUAUGCUGAGUCCUCUUCCUGAAAAACCAUAGUUUUAGUCAAAAUUUAGGAGAGGGAGGAGCACAUCUCUGCUUUCCUUUGCAUACCUCACUAAGAACAUUACUUUGAGGAACAGAUCAUUGCUAUGCAGAGUUAUAACCUUCCUAAGUGCUGGGUUGUGCAGCUGAUGCCAGAUAGAUUUGUUGUCAUGAAAGCUGUCUCCUGGAGUUGCAUAACUCUUGUGAGGAGUUUAUGUACAGGCUGUCCCAGGGGUGAUGUUUUAUCAAACCUUGUGACAAAAACUCUCCUCUCUGCGAGCCAUCAAACUCUUAUUGAG
rnacentral:lncRNA from 7 species